UAAUAUAUAGGGUCAAUGACCCUCUUGUUUUUCUUUCAGUAACACUUAAUUUAUAUCCAUUCUGGUUCAAGCCAGAAGUCUCAAACUGAUGUUGUUUCUUGUACAAGUACCAAGUUUCAGUCAAAAGAGCGUAGUCUAUUUUCUCAUCCCUGAGGUAUUGGCCCACAAAAUCAUCUUUGUACAACACGCCUUACAGCCUCUUUCACCAAGUUGAGUAGAGUUUCACUAUAGUCCAAUUGAAUGUAUUCCAUGAUCCAAAAGACAAAAAAGUUGAUAAGAUGAAUUCUAAGGACUGUGAAACAAGUUUUGAAAAUAUAAUUGCAGAUUUUGCAGGUACUGUUCGUGUAUGUGCUAGACCAGUUAUGCAUAUAUUUUAUGGAGAUUAUCAGCAGUUUGACUAUAUUUGUAGGAUAGCUCAGAAUACAAUGUGAGUCCUACAUUGAAGCAAUUUGUGGAGAUAUUUGAUCCGAUUGUAGUCCAGCCAGAGUUACUGUUCUUUCCAUUCCCAUGGGAUCCUGUUACGCAGACGCCACAUAGAUAUCAGCUCCGGACUACCGGUCGAAGUGGAAACUAUAUGUAGGGCUCAAAUGAUGCAGAGGUUGUUCUGCUGGGGAGAUUUCUACAUCCAUCCAUGGAUAGGCAGAGGUCACUGCAUCAGACAGAAGAAACCAACUACAUAAGGGCUUGGCUCAGCACAGCAACCCUUGGUCCUCAAGUUAGCAGACAUCCAUGGCCAGAACAUUAUCAGAAGGGAGGGGGGUGGGUACUGUCUUGUCGGUAGAGUAUCAAGUGUUUCAAUGGAAAAAGCAAUAGUCGAAUGUCUAAAUGCUGCUACAUUAUCCAAUGAGGAAAUAAACACCACCAAUGAUGCGUUUGAAUCAACCUGGAAUGCCGGAUACACCUAACUAUCGAGAGAACACACCUUUAGUUAUUUGUAGAUGUUUCG
rnacentral:lncRNA from 1 species